rnacentral:rRNA from 1 species
UACGGGGGGAGCAAGCGUUGUUCGGAUUUACUGGGCGUAAAGGGCGCGUAGGCGGCCAGCACAAGUCAGUUGUGAAAUCUCCGAGCUUAACUCGGAACGGUCAACUGAUACUGUGCGGCUAGAGUGCGGAAGGGGCAACUGGAAUUCUUGGUGUAGCGGUGAAAUGCGUAGAUAUCAAGAGGAACACCUGCGGCGAAGGCGGUUCUCUGGGCCUUACCUGACGCUGAGGAGCGAAAGCGUGGGGAGCGAACAGG